rnacentral:rRNA from 1 species
AUUGAACGCUGGCGGCAGGCCUAACACAUGCAAGUCGAGCGGCAGCGACUUAACUGAACCUUCGGGGAACGUUAAGGGCGGCGAGCGGCGGACGGGUGAGUAAUGCCUGGGAAUAUGCCCUGAUGUGGGGGAUAACUAUUGGAAACGAUAGCUAAUACCGCAUAAUCUCUUCGGAGCAAAGAGGGGGACCUUCGGGCCUCUCGCGUCAGGAUUAGCCCAGGUGGGAUUAGCUUGUUGGUGAGGUAAUGGCUCACCAAGGCAACGAUCCCUAGCUGGUCUGAGAGGAUGAUCAGCCACACUGGAACUGAGACACGGUCCAGACUCCUACGGGAGGCAGCAGUGGGGAAUAUUGCACAAUGGGGGAAACCCUGAUGCAGCCAUGCCGCGUGUGUGAAGAAGGCCUUCGGGUUGUAAAGCACUUUCAGUAGGGAGGAAGGUAGUGUAGUUAACACCUGCACUAUUUGACGUUACCUACAGAAGAAGCACCGGCUAACUCCGUGCCAGCAGCCGCGGUAAUACGGAGGGUGCGAGCGUUAAUCGGAAUUACUGGGCGUAAAGCGCAUGCAGGCGGCCUGUUAAGUCAGAUGUGAAAGCCCGGGGCUUAACCUCGGAAUUGCAUUUGAAACUGGCAGGCUAGAGUCUUGUAGAGGGGGGUAGAAUUUCAGGUGUAGCGGUGAAAUGCGUAGAGAUCUGAAGGAAUACCAGUGGCGAAGGCGGCCCCCUGGACAAAGACUGACGCUCAGAUGUGAAAGCGUGGGGAGCAAACAGG